GCCGCGUGUGUGAAAAGGUCUUCGGAUUGUAAAGCACUUUAAGUUGGGAGGAAGGGCAGUAAAUUAAUACUUUGCUGUUUUGACGUUACCGACAGAAUAAGCACCGGCUAACUCUGUGCCAGCAGCCGCGGUAAUACAGAGGGUGCAAGCGUUAAUCGGAAUUACUGGGCGUAAAGCGCGCGUAGGUGGUUCGUUAAGUUGGAUGUGAAAUCCCCGGGCUCAACCUGGGAACUGCAUUCAAAACUGUCGAGCUAGAGUAUGGUAGAGGGUGGUGGAAUUUCCUGUGUAGCGGUGAAAUGCGUAGAUAUAGGAAGGAACACCAGUGGCGAAGGCGACCACCUGGACUGAUACUGACACUGAGGUGCGAAAGCGUGGGGAGCAAACA
rnacentral:rRNA from 1 species